UACGGAGGGAGCAAGCGUUACUCGGAAUUAUUGGGCGUAAAGAGCUCGUAGGCGGUUUGUUGCGUCGGCUGUGAAAUCCCGAGGCUCAACCUCGGGUCUGCAGUCGAUACGAGCAAACUAGAGUGUUGCAGGGGAGACUGGAAUUCCUGGUGUAGCGGUGAAAUGCGCAGAUAUCAGGAGGAACACCUGCGGCGAGGGCGGGUUGCUGGGCUGACACUGACGCUGGAGGCGCGAAAGCUAGGGGAGCGAACGGG
rnacentral:rRNA from 1 species